rnacentral:rRNA from 1 species
CAGCCAUGCCGCGUGCAGGAUGAAGGCCUUCGGGUUGUAAACUGCUUUUGUACGGAACGAAACGGCCUUUUCUAAUAAAGAGGGCUAAUGACGGUACCGUAAGAAUAAGCACCGGCUAACUACGUGCCAGCAGCCGCGGUAAUACGUAGGGUGCAAGCGUUAAUCGGAAUUACUGGGCGUAAAGCGUGCGCAGGCGGUUAUGUAAGACAGUUGUGAAAUCCCCGGGCUCAACCUGGGAACUGCAUCUGUGACUGCAUAGCUAGAGUACGGUAGAGGGGGAUGGAAUUCCGCGUGUAGCAGUGAAAUGCGUAGAUAUGCGGAGGAACACCGAUGGCGAAGGCAAUCCCCUGGACCUGUACUGACGCUCAUGCACGAAAGCGUGGGGAGCAAACAGGAUUAGAUACCCUGGUAGUCCACGCCCUAAACGAUGUCAACUGGUUGUUGGGUCUUCACUGACUCAGUAACGAAGCUAACGCGUGAAGU